GAUGAACGCUGGCGGCGUGCAUAACACAUUCAAGUCGAACGAGGUAGCAAUACCUAGUGGCGGACGGGUGAGUAACGCGUGAGCAACCUGCCCUUGUGUGGGGGAUACCGUCUGGAAACGGACGUUAAUACCGCAUAACAUAGCGGAAUCGCAUGGUUCUGCUAUCAAAGAUUUAUUGCGCAAGGAUGGGCUCGCGUUGGAUUAGAUAGUUGGUGAGGUAACGGCCCACCAAGUCUGCGAUCCAUAGCCGGACUGAGAGGUUGAACGGCCACAUUGGAACUGAGAAACGGUCCAGACUCCUACGGGAGGCAGCAGUGGGGAAUAUUGGGCAAUGGGCGAAAGCCUGACCCAGCAACGCCGCGUGAGGGAAGAAGGGUUUCGGGUUGUAAACUUCUUUUAGCAGGGACGAAUACGUGACGGUACCUGCAGAAAAAGCAACGGCUAACUACGUG
rnacentral:rRNA from 1 species